AUUUUAAGCCUUUUAAUCUAAAAAUGACUCCAUAGGUAGCGGAUGGAGUUGCCCCCUACUUUAUAGAGAAGAUUGAGGCCAUUCAACUUGAACUUCUCAAAAUUGCCUUGCCUCCAUUUUCUAUUUUCUGUCAAUACCUACCCUUUCCUGCUUCCUCCUAUCUUGAAAGAAGCAUCUUUCCUACAUUCCAAGACUAACCUUUUUGCUAUGCUUUUGUUCUCAUCUCUUCCUGUCUUUCCUGGCAUCUCCAUUUUCAAUAUUUUUCUUUUCAUUGAUUCCUUCCCAGAAUUCGAUAGACAUAUGUAAAUUUUCUAGCCUAUAAAACUUUUGUUUAUCCUAGCUUCUCUAUCAAAUUGGAAUACCAUCUUUCUAUUUUUCUUCAGUAUUUCCAUUUGUAAUCUGCUUUUGCUGUCUCUAUUUUCUUACCUCACAUUCACUCUUUAAUAAUUUUCAAUCUAGCCCCUACUUACAUUAGUUUAUGUGAUUUACUCUUUAUAAAAAUGGUCUUCUAAUUAAUAGGUCUUGUGGCUUCUCAGUUAGCAUUUUGCUUGACCUUGACAAUGGUCAGCACAGAUGGCUACUUCUAUCUCUCCUGAUUUCUAGGUACUUAAUGCUAUUAUUCUUAUGCAUCCCUGGCCAUAUUUUUUCAAUAUUCGUUCAUGCUCACUUUUGCUGUUCACUCCUUUAUCAUUGCCCUAUCUUUUCAUUCUACAUCUUUUCUACAUCUUAGUUCCCUCUAUGAUUUCAGAUUCUUUAUAAUAUGUUUUUGCAUUCUUUACUGCUCCACUGAGUUUCAGAAAAGUUUAUCCAAAUUCCUGUACCUAUAUCCAAUUCAACAUGUUACAUCUCUGAGUUCAUCAUCUACACACUUACUUAAUCUACCAAACCUUCUUCUCUUCCUUAUUUUCCUUUCCUAAGUUAGUGUCAUUAUCCUCCCAGAUACUCAGGCUAAAACUCUUCCAAUUAUCUUCAACUUUCCCUCUUCCUGUCACCCUCUCAUGUCCAGUCAUUACCCAACCAUAUGAUUUGAUCAUGGAAGCAUGUCUUACCCUUCCCCUUUCCUUUCUACUUCUUGUAAGGUAGUUAUCUCCCACUUAGUCUACUUACAAUGAUCCUAACAUUGUCUCGUCC
rnacentral:lncRNA from 1 species